GUCGGGAGUCUUGCACAAUGGGGGAAACCCUGAUGCAGCGACGUCGCGUGUGGGAUGAAGUAUUUCGGUAUGUAAACCACUUUUGCGGGGGGCGAAAAAAAUGACGGUACCCCGCGAAUAAGCCCCGGCUAACUACGUGCCAGCAGCCGCGGUAAUACGUAGGGGGCGAGCGUUGCUCGGAUUGACUGGGCGUAAAGCGCGCGUAGGCGGUCCAUUAAGUGUGCGGUGAAAGUCGGAGGCUCAACCUCCGUCCCGCCGCGCAAACUGAUGGUCUUGAGAUUGGGAGGGGGAUGCGGAAUUCCUGGUGUAGCGGUGAAAUGCAUUGAUAUCAGGAGGAACACCGGCGGCGAAAGCGGCAUCCUGGCUUAUAUCUGACGCUGAGGCGCGAAAGCGUGGGUAGCAAACGGGAUUAGAUACCCGUGUAGUCC
rnacentral:rRNA from 1 species